rnacentral:rRNA from 1 species
UAGCUAGUUGGUGAGGUAAAGGCUCACCAAGGCGACGAUCUGUAGCGGGUCUGAGAGGAUGAUCCGCCACACUGGAACUGAGACACGGUCCAGACUCCUACGGGAGGCAGCAGUGGGGAAUUUUGGACAAUGGGGGCAACCCUGAUCCAGCCAUGCCGCGUGAGUGAAGAAGGCCUUCGGGUUGUAAAGCUCUUUCGGCCGGGAAAAAAUCGCAUAGGUUAAUACCCUGUGUGGAUGAUGGUACCGGAAUAAGAAGCACCGGCUAACUACGUGCCAGCAGCCGCGGUAAUACGUAGGGUGCGAGCGUUAAUCGGAAUUACUGGGCGUAAAGCGUGCGCAGGCGGUUUUGUAAGACAGGUGUGAAAUCCCCGGGCUCAACCUGGGAACUGCGCUUGUGACUGCAAGGCUAGAGUACGGCAGAGGGGGGUGGAAUUCCACGUGUAGCAGUGAAAUGCGUAGAGAUGUGGAGGAACACCAAUGGCGAAGGCAGCCCCCUGGGUCGAUACUGACGCUCAUGCACGAAAGCGUGGGUAGCAAACAGGAUUAGAUACCCUGGUAGUCCACGCCCUAAACGAUGUCAACUAGGUGUUGGGUGGGUAAAACCAUUUAGUACCGUAGCUAACGCGAGAAGUUGACCGCCUGGGGAGUACGGCCGCAAGGUUAAAACUCAAAGGAAUUGACGGGGACCCGCACAAGCGGUGGAUGAUGUGGAUUAAUUCGAUGCAACGCGAAAAACCUUACCUACCCUUGACAUGUCCAGGAGCCCGAAGAGAUUUGGGUGUGCUCGAAAGAGAACUGGAACACAGGUGCUGCAUGGCUGUCGUCAGCUCGUGUCGUGAGAUGUUGGGUUAAGUCCCGCAACGAGCGCAACCCUUGUCGUUAAUUGCCAUCAUUCAGUUGGGCACUUUAACGAGACUGCCGGUGACAAACCGGAGGAAGGUGGGGAUGACGUCAAGUCCUCAUGGCCCUUAUGGGUAGGGCUUCACACGUCAUACAAUGGUCGGUACAAAGGGUUGCCAACCCGCGAGGGGGAGCUAAUCCCAUAAAGCCGAUCGUAGUCCGGAUCGUAGGCUGCAACUCGCCUGCGUGAAGUCGGAAUCGCUAGUAAUCGUGGAUCAGCAUGUCACGGUGAAUACGUUCCCGGGUCUUGUACACACCGCCCGUCACACCAUGGGAGCGGGUUCCGCCAGAAGUAGGUAGCCUAACCGCAAGGGGGGCGCUUACCACGGCGGGGUUCGUGACUGGGGUGAAGUCGUAACAAGGUAGCCGUAGGGGAACCUGCGGCUG